AGUGAACGCUGGCGGUAGGCCUAACACAUGCAAGUCGAACGGCAGCACAAGAGAGCUUGCUCUCUGGGUGGCGAGUGGCGGACGGGUGAGGAAUACAUCGGAAUCUACUCUGUCGUGGGGGAUAACGUAGGGAAACUUACGCUAAUACCGCAUACGACCUACGAGUGAAAGCAGGGGACCUUCGGGCCUUGCGCGAUUGAAUGAGCCGAUGUCGGAUUAGCUGGGUGGCGGGGUAAAGGCCCACCAAGGCGACGAUCCGUAGCUGGUCUGAGAGGAUGAUCAGCCACACUGGAACUGAGACACGGUCCAGACUCCUACGGGAGGCAGCAGUGGGGAAUAUUGGACAAUGGGCGCAAGCCUGAUCCAGCCAUACCGCGUGGGUGAAGAAGGCCUUCGGGUUGUAAAGCCCUUUUGUUGGGAAAGAAAUCCAGCUGGUUAAUACCCGGUUGGGAUGACGGUACCCAAAGAAUAAGCACCGGCUAACUUCGUGCCAGCCGCCGCCGUAA
rnacentral:rRNA from 1 species